GGAGAAUUAUAAACUCGGUGGAAUAAGUCGGCCAUUUCGCUAUUCUCUCGGUCUAGCAUUAAUUGUACAAAAGAGAAGAAAUCGUCGGAAGUUGAUACAAGACUCGUGAGAAUAUCCGCUGAGACUAUUAUGUAUACGACAGCUAGUAAGUAGUCUUCGCAAUAUCUUACCAGAAAAGCGGUUGUUACCACGGUUUCAGUACCAAGUCGAACCAACAUGGCGACGUCUGGGGAGACGAGGAACGAAAGCUUCUGUUGCGGUACAUGUUACACGUAUUACAACCGAAUCGAAGAUGCUGUUAACUGCAGGUGUGCAUCACAAGGUGCACAACAUGGUACAGCUACAGUAGUAGUAUCAUCACAGUCUUUAUUAGCUGAUGAUCAUAUUAGAAGUAAGUACAAAUUAUUAUUUAACUUUCAUUUAUGUUUACCUUAGUAAAAAAUAAUAGCUGAAAUGAAUACUUUCAAUUUAUUAAAUUUAAUUAACGUCCAGUAUUUAUUUAUUUAACAAUAUUCUUAAAUAAUAAACCUACACAAAGUUCAC
rnacentral:lncRNA from 1 species